UAGGGAAUCUUCGGCAAUGGACGGAAGUCUGACCGAGCAACGCCGCGUGAGUGAAGAAGGUUUUCGGAUCGUAAAGCUCUGUUGUUAGAGAAGAACGUUGGUAGGAGUGGAAAAUCUACCAAGUGACGGUAACUAACCAGAAAGGGACGGCUAACUACGUGCCAGCAGCCGCGGUAAUACGUAGGUCCCGAGCGUUGUCCGGAUUUAUUGGGCGUAAAGCGAGCGCAGGCGGUUCUUUAAGUCUGAAGUUAAAGGCAGUGGCUUAACCAUUGUACGCUUUGGAAACUGGAGGACUUGAGCGCAGAAGGGGAGGGUGGAAUUCCAUGUGUAGCGGUGAAAUGCGUAGAUAUAUGGAGGAACACCGGUGGCGAAAGCGGCUCUCUGGUCUGUAACUGACGCUGAGGCUCGAAAGCGUGGGGAGCAAACAGG
rnacentral:rRNA from 1 species